GAAAAAACUCCGGUGGUGUGAGAUGGACCCGCGUCUGAUUAGCCAGUUGGCGGGGUAACGGCCCACCAAAGCGACGAUCAGUAGCCGGCCUGAGAGGGUGAACGGCCACAUUGGGACUGAGACACGGCCCAAACUCCUACGGGAGGCAGCAGUGGGGAAUAUUGCACAAUGGGGGAAACCCUGAUGCAGCGACGCCGCGUGAGUGAAGAAGUAUUUCGGUAUGUAAAGCUCUAUCAGCAGGGAAGAAGUGACGGUACCUGAAUAAGAAGCCCCGGCUAACUACGUGCCAGCAGCCGCGGUAAUACGUAGGGGGCAAGCGUUAUCCGGAUUUACUGGGUGUAAAGGGAGCGUAGACGGCAAGGCAAGUCUGAAGUGAAAGCCCGGUGCUUAACGCCGGGACUGCUUUGGAAACUGUUUAGCUGGAGUGCCGGAGAGGUAAGCGGAAUUCCUAGUGUAGCGGUGAAAUGCGUAGAUAUUAGGAAGAACACCAGUGGCGAAGGCGGCUUACUGGACGGUAACUGACGUUGA
rnacentral:rRNA from 1 species